rnacentral:lncRNA from 1 species
CGGGGCGCGGUUCGGUCCGGCUGGGCUCGGCUUCUCUCGGCUGGGCUCGGCUGGCGCGCGGCGCGGCCGUUACCGCCGCCUAGUCAGUGUCAUCUUCACAGUCUCUUCCUCUGGUGAGCAGCCUCUGCUGACAGUGACAGACAGGAAGAGUGGAUAUUCCCUUGAAAAGACCACAAGUUUGAUCUCAAAUCCUGCACAUCUACAAUCUUGAGAAUUAGCAAGACACAAUUGGUCAGGUUCUACACCUACACAGAAGCAAACUUGCCUUGGUGGCCCCAGCGGUGGUGUUAGCCAUGAAGUUGUGCUUCAGAUACAGUGUCUGUCCAGUUUUGCCUUUGCAGUGAUUCGGUUUAGAAGGUAAGUGGCUGCAAGCAUGGCACAGUGUGCUGAUGAUGUCCAGCUUGAAGCAAAGUCUGCUGCUGCACUUCAAAGCUGUGGAUUUUGCGUA